CGAGUAGGCGGUGGAGCAAGUCUGAGGUGGAAUCCUAUGGCUUAACCAUAGAACUGCCUUAGAGACUGUUUCACUUGAGUCAGUGAGGGGAGGGCGGAAUUCCUGGUGUAGCGGUGAAAUGCGUAGAUAUCAGGAGGAAGGCCUGUGGCGAAGGCGGCCCUCUGGCACUGCACUGACGCUGAGGCGCGAAAGCGUGGGGAGCAAACAGGAUUAGAUACCCUGGUAGUCCACGCCCUAAACGGUGGGCAUUAGGUGUAGGGCUCGUAAGGGUUCUGUGCCGAAGGGAAACCAUUAAAUGCCCCGCCUGGGGAGUACGGCCGCAAGGUUGAA
rnacentral:rRNA from 1 species